rnacentral:misc_RNA from 1 species
GAUGAAGAACGUAGCGAAAUGCGAUAAGUAAUGUGAAUUGCAGAAUUCAGUGAAUCAUCGAAUCUUUGAACGCACAUUGCGCCCGCCAGCACUCUGGCGGGCAUGCCUGUUCGAGCGUCAUUUCAACCAUCAAGCCCCCAGGGGCUUGUGCUGGGGCCCUGCGGCUGCCCGCAGGCCCUGAAAACCAGUGGCGGGCUCGCUAGUCACACCGAGCGCAGUAGCACCUCUCGCUCAGAGCGUGCGGCGGGCUCCUGCCGUGAAACCCCCCACUGUAACCCCAAAGGUUGACCUCGGAUCAGGUAGGAAUACCCGCUGAACUUAAGCAUAUCAAUAAGCGGAGGA